rnacentral:rRNA from 1 species
UACGUAGGGUGCAAGCGUUGUCCGGAUUUAUUGGGCGUAAAGAGCUCGUAGGCGGUCUGUCGCGUCGGAUGUGAAAACCCAGGGCUCAACCCUGGCCUGCAUUCGAUACGGGCAGACUAGAGUACGGCAGGGGAGACUGGAAUUCCUGGUGUAGCGGUGAAUGCGCAGAUAAUCAGGAGGAACACCGGUGGCGAAGGCGGGUCUCUGGGCCGAUAUUGACGCUGAGGAGCGAAGCGUGGGGAGCGAACAGG